AGUGAACGCUGGCGGUAGGCCUAACACAUGCAAGUCGAACGGCAGCACAGUAAGAGCUUGCUCUUACGGGUGGCGAGUGGCGGACGGGUGAGGAAUACAUCGGAAUCUACUUUUUCGUGGGGGAUAACGUAGGGAAACUUACGCUAAUACCGCAUACGACCUACGGGUGAAAGCAGGGGAUCUUCGGACCUUGCGCGAUUGAAUGAGCCGAUGUCGGAUUAGCUAGUUGGCGGGGUAAAGGCCCACCAAGGCGACGAUCCGUAGCUGGUCUGAGAGGAUGAUCAGCCACACUGGAGCUGAGACACGGUCCAGACUCCUACGGGAGGCAGCAGUGGGGAAUAUUGGACAAUGGGCGCAAGCCUGAUCCAGCCAUACCGCGUGGGUGAAGAAGGCCUUCGGGUUGUAAAGCCCUUUUGUUGGGAAAGAAAAGCAGCGGGUUAAUACCCCGCUGUUCUGACGGUACCCAAAGAAUAAGCACCGGCUAACUUCGUG
rnacentral:rRNA from 1 species